AGUGAACGCUGGCGGUAGGCCUAACACAUGCAAGUCGAACGGCAGCACAGUAAGAGCUUGCUCUUACGGGUGGCGAGUGGCGGACGGGUGAGGAAUACAUCGGAAUCUACUUUUUCGUGGGGGAUAACGUAGGGAAACUUACGCUAAUACCGCAUACGACCUACGGGUGAAAGCAGGGGAUCUUCGGACCUUGCGCGAUUGAAUGAGCCGAUGUCGGAUUAGCUAGUUGGCGGGGUAAAGGCCCACCAAGGCGACGAUCCGUAGCUGGUCUGAGAGGAUGUUCAGCCACACUGGAACUGAGACACGGUCCAGACUCCUACGGGAGGCAGCAGUGGGGAAUAUUGGACAAUGGGCGCAAGCCUGAUCCGGCCAUACCGCGUGGGUGAAGAAGGCCUUCGGGUUGUAAAGCCCUUUUGUUGGGAAAGAAAAGCAGCAGGUUAAUACCCCGCUGUUCUGACGGUACCCAAAGAAUAAGCACCGGCUAACUUCGUG
rnacentral:rRNA from 1 species